rnacentral:rRNA from 1 species
AUUGAAAUUCUUCGGAAUGGACAUAGAUACAAGCUAGCGGCGGAUGGGUGAGUAACGCGUGGGUAACCUGCCCUUAAGUCUGGGAUACCAUUUGGAAACAGAUGCUAAUACCGGAUAAAAGCUACUUUCGCAUGAAAGAAGUUUAAAAGGCGGCGUAAGCUGUCGCUAAAGGAUGGACCUGCGAUGCAUUAGCUAGUUGGUAAGGUAACGGCUUACCAAGGCGAUGAUGCAUAGCCGAGUUGAGAGACUGAUCGGCCACAUUGGGACUGAGACACGGCCCAAACUCCUACGGGAGGCAGCAGUAGGGAAUCUUCCACAAUGGACGCAAGUCUGAUGGAGCAACGCCGCGUGAGUGAAGAAGGUUUUCGGAUCGUAAAGCUCUGUUGUUGGUGAA